UGGCGAACGGGUGAGUAACGCGUGAGGAACCUGCCUCAAAGAGGGGGGACAACAGUUGGAAACGACUGCUAAUACCGCNUAAGCCCACGGGUCGGCAUCGACCAGAGGGAAAAGGAGCAAUCCGCUUUGAGAUGGCCUCGCGUCCGAUUAGCUAGUUGGUGAGGUAAUGGCCCACCAAGGCAACGAUCGGUAGCCGGACUGAGAGGUUGAACGGCCACAUUGGGACUGAGACACGGCCCAGACUCCUACGGGAGGCAGCAUG
rnacentral:rRNA from 1 species